GCUGAGGCCUGUGGCGGAGGGUCCAGGACCACGCGGCCGGCACACUGGGCUCUGAAUGAGUGGCUGGGGGCCAUGGCAGCCCCCAGGCUCCCGCGCCCCCAAGGGAGCAGGCGUGCACCUGGCGAAAACAAGCCGGUCAGCGUCAGGAGGGCACCUCUCGUCCCCAAAGCGCCCCAGAGCCGCGGAUCAAGCAACAGUAUGUGCCAGGUUCCAGGGCGGCCCUGGGGGUGAGCGAAACUACCCCCACAGGCAGGGAAUGGACCGCGCUCCCCACACCCCAGAGCCUCUCUGCCCCAAUCGCCCCCGAACGGCGUCUGUCGCAGGAACAAGGACUUGCAAGCACCUCUGUGGGUCGCUUCGCUUUUCACAAGGAUAAACAGAGCCCACAUAGCAGAAGUGGCUGGACCC